rnacentral:rRNA from 1 species
GAUGAACGCUAGCGGCAGGCUUAAUACAUGCAAGUCGAGGGGCAUCAAGGUACACGAAAGUGUAUUGUUGGCGACCGGCGGACGGGUGAGUAAUAGGUAGGUAACCUACCUCAUACUGAGGCAUAGCUGGGAGAAAUUCCAGGUAAUUCCUCAUGAGGUUAUAUGACACAUGUGAUAUAAUCAAAGGUAUCGCAAGGUACUGGUAUGAGAUGGGCUUACUGACCAUUAGCUAGUUGGUGAGAUAAGAGCUCACCAAGGCGAAGAUGGUUAGGGGUUUUGAGAGAGAGAUCCCCCACAUUGGAACUGAGAUACGGUCCAGACUCCUACGGGAGGCAGCAGUGGGGAAUCUUCCGCAAUGGGCGCAAGCCUGACGGAGCAACGCCGCGUGGGUGAAGAAGGCCUUCGGGUUGUAAAGCCCUGUCUUAUGGGAAGAAGUCAGUGACGGUACCAUAGGAGGAAGCCACGGCUAACUACGUG